rnacentral:hammerhead_ribozyme from 1 species
AUCCAGCUGACGAGUCUAAAAUAGGACGGAACGCGCCUUGUCCUGGAU